UCCGAUAUGGUCUAGUGUCUAGGAUACCUGGCUCUCACCCAGGACGCUCGGCUCGAUUCCCGGUAUCGGAA
rnacentral:tRNA from 1 species